GCAUAUAGGCUGGAUAGCUCAGUUGGUAGAACAUGAGACUCUUGAUCCCAGGGUUGUGGGAUCAUGCCCCACAUUGUGUG